rnacentral:rRNA from 1 species
UACGUAGGGUGCAAGCGUUGUCCGGAAUUAUUGGGCGUAAAGGGCUCGUAGGCGGUCUGUCACGUCGGAUGUGAAAACUCGGGGCUCAACCCCGAGCCUGCAUUCGAUACGGGCAGACUUGAGUUCGGCAGGGGAGACUGGAAUUCCUGGUGUAGCGGUGAAAUGCGUAGAUAUUGGGAGGAACACCGGUGGCGAAGGCGGCUACCUGGACCGGUUCUGACGCUGAUGCGCGAAAGCGUGGGUAGCAAACAGG